rnacentral:rRNA from 1 species
UCGUGGAUUGAUUUGUCUGGUUAAUUCCGAUAACGAACGAGACCUUAACCUACUAGUUGGGUUCGGUCUUUAUUUUAAAGGCUUUUUUGAACCCUCUUAGGGGGACAGCUGGCAUUUAGCCAGAGGAGGUUUGAGGCAAUAACA